rnacentral:rRNA from 1 species
UACGCGGGGGGCAAGCGUUGUUCGGAAUUACUGGGCGUAAAGGGCUCGUAGGUGGCCAACUAAGUCGGACGUGAAAUCCCUCAGCUUAACUGGGGAACUGCGUCCGAUACUGGAUGGCUCGAGUUUGGGAGAGGGAUGCGGAAUUCCAGGUGUAGCGGUGAAAUGCGUAGAUAUCUGGAGGAACACCGGUGGCGAAGGCGGCAUCCUGGACCAACACUGACACUGAGGAGCGAAAGCCAGGGGAGCAAACGGG